UACGAAGGGGGCGAGCGUUGUUCGGAUUUACUGGGCGUAAAGGGCGCGCAGGCGGCGCAUUUUGUCAGGCGUGAAAGCCCCGGGCUUAACCUGGGAACAGCGCUUGAGACUGGCACGCUCGAGUUCGGGAGAGGAUGGUGGAAUUCCCAGUGUAGAGGUGAAAUUCGUAGAUAUUGGGGAAGAACACCGAUGGCGAAGGCAGCCAUCUGGACCGACAC
rnacentral:rRNA from 1 species